CCUACGGGUGGCAGCAGUGAGGAAUAUUGGUCAAUGGGCUUACGCCUGAACCAGCCAAGUCGCGUGAGGGAAGACUGCCCUAUGGGUUGUAAACCUCUUUUGUCAGGGAGCAACGCCGGCUACGUGUAGCCUGCCUGAUAGUACCUGAAGAUAAAGCAUCGGCUAACCCCGUGCCAGCAGCCGCGGUAAUACGGAGGAUGCGAGCGUUGUCCGGAUUUAUUGGGUUUAAAGGGUGCGUAGGCGGAAUGCCAAGUCAGCGGUAAAAUCGCGGGGCUCAACCUCACUCCGCCGUUGAAACUGGCGUACUUGAGUGGGCGAGAGGUAUGCGGAAUGCGUGGUGUAGCGGUGAAAUGCAUAGAUAUAACGCAGAACUCCGAUUGCGAAGGCAGCAUACCGGCGUGCAACUGACGCUGAAGCACGAAAGCGUGGGUAGCGAACAGGAUUAGAUACCCGAGUAGUC
rnacentral:rRNA from 1 species